CGCAUCGGCUCCGGCUGGAACGUAAGUAUGUCCCGUCCCGCUCCGGCUGGUGAAGUGACAGCUGCCGAGCGGAGCCGGUGCGUAAAACCUCCCUGCCUGCGCUCCGGCGCUUUGGUGGUGUUCAGCGUGGAACGGCAACGUCAAACUGUCCUGUCCGUUUGGAAUCGAGUCCUGGUAGUAAAACCUCGUGUCUUGGAUGCCCAUUUUGAAGUCCGCAAGGUGAACUCACAAGGUCAGCAGCUGAACUCAUUGGUGUUGACACCCCGGAUGAUAGCGUAUUGUCCCCAGUGACAUGUCCACAAGGCCGAGCGGUUAUACUCUCCACCUGCCCUGUGGGGGAUGACAGGUACCUUUUAGGCCUUAGUUAAGCUGAUCUCCCACAGGCGAUGUUCACCACGACUGGAAGACAAAUGAUCCUCAUGGGAAAUCCGACGGAGGUGUGUUUUGCAGCACCUCAGAUGUACAGCACACCUGAAGAAGGCGCUGGCAGGGAGUCUGCGUCCUUCUGCUUAACACGCGGCAGCUGUGCUGAGGGAAGGUGAGGAAAGACUGUGCUAAUUUGAGGGCUGUUAGUUUGCUUGAGCGCAGACUGCUAGCUCCAUGCAUGUUCACAGACAGUGCUGACAAGUGCAUGAGUGAAUCUGAUGUCUUACUUAUGAUGAGCAUGAUCUUUCUAUACCACAAUACCAG